rnacentral:rRNA from 1 species
GCCUAGGCAGCAGUGGGGAAUAUUGCGCAAUGGGGGAAACCCUGAUGCAGCGACGCCGCGUGCGUGAAGAAGUAUCUCGGUACGUAAAGCUCUAUCAGCAGGGAAGAAAAUGACGGUACCUGACUAAGAAGCCCCGGCUAACUACGUGCCAGCAGCCGCGGUAAUACGUAGGGGGCAAGCGUUAUCCGGAUUUACUGGGUGUAAAGGGAGCGUAGACGGCAGCGCAAGUCUGGAGUGAAAUGCCGGGGCCCAACCCCGGAACUGCUUUGGAAACUGUGCAGCUCGAGUGCAGGAGAGGUAAGCGG